CGGAAACAUGUCUAGCUUGCUAGAUGAUGUCGAGUGGCGGACGGGUGAGUAAUACUUAGGAAUAUGCCUUUGUGUGGGGGAUAACUAUUGGAAACGAUAGCUAAUACCGCAUAACGUCUUCGGACCAAAGGGGGCUUCGGCUCCCGCGCAAAGAGUAGCCUAAGCGAGAUUAGCUUGUUGGUGAGGUAAAGGCUCACCAAGGCGACGAUCUCUAGCUGUUCUGAGAGGAAGAUCAGCCACACUGGAACUGAGACACGGUCCAGACUCCUACGGGAGGCAGCAGUGGGGAAUAUUGCACAAUGGGGGAAACCCUGAUGCAGCCAUGCCGCGUGUGUGAAGAAGGCCUUCGGGUUGUAAAGCACUUUCAGUUGUGAGGAAAGGUUAACGGUUAAUACCCGUUAGCUGUGACGUUAGCAACAGAAGAAGGACCGGCUAACUCCGUGCCAGCAGCCGCGGUAAUACGGAGGGUCCGAGCGUUAAUCGGAAUUACUGGGCGUAAAGCGCACGCAGGCGGUUAUAUAAGCUAGAUGUGAAAGCCCCGGGCUCAACCUGGGAAUAGCAUUUAGAACUGUAUGACUAGAGUCUUGGAGAGGGGAGUGGAAUUCCAGGUGUAGCGAUGA
rnacentral:rRNA from 1 species